UACUCAACGCACAGCGUGUGCCUCACCUUUC
rnacentral:piRNA from 1 species